rnacentral:rRNA from 1 species
UACGUAGGGUGCAAGCGUUGUCCGGAAUUAUUGGGCGUAAAGAGCUCGUAGGCGGUCUGUCGCGUCGGAUGUGAAAAUCCAGGGCUCAACCCCUGGACCUGCAUUCGAUACGGGCAGACUAGAGUUCGGUAGGGGAGACUGGAAUUCCUGGUGUAGCGGUGAAAUGCGCAGAUAUCAGGAGGAACACCGGUGGCGAAGGCGGUUCUCUGGGCCUUACCUGACACUGAGGAGCGAAAGCGUGGGGAGCGAACAGG